rnacentral:rRNA from 1 species
ACGGGGGGGGCAAGCGUUGUUCGGAAUUACUGGGCGUAAAGGGUUCGUAGGUGGCCUGCUGAGUCAGACGUGAAAUCCCUCAGCUUAACUGGGGAACUGCUUCUGAGACUGGCGGGCUUGAGUGCAGGAGAGGAACGCGGAAUUCCAGGUGUAGCGGUGAAAUGCGUAGAUAUCUGGAGGAAUACCGGUGGCGAAGGCGGCAUCCUGGACCGACAUUGACGCUGAGGAGCGAAAGCUAGGGGAGCAAACGGGA